ACGUGCUUAAUAUAACAUAUUAUACUCGAUUUCCAAUCGAGCAACCCCAAAAGGGAGCCCGUA
rnacentral:tRNA from 1 species